rnacentral:rRNA from 1 species
GAUCCUGACUCAGGACGAACGCUGGCGGCACGCUUAACACAUGCAAGUCGAACGAGAGAAGAGAAGCUUGCUUUUCUGAUCUAGUGGCGGACGGGUGAGUAACACGUGAGCAAUCUGCCUUUCAGAGGGGGAUACCGAUUGGAAACGAUCGUUAAUACCGCAUAAUAUAAUUGAACCGCAUGAUUUGAUUAUCAAAGAUUUAUCGCUGAAAAGAUGAGCUCGCGU